rnacentral:rRNA from 1 species
GACGAACGCUGGCGGCGUGCUUAACACAUGCAAGUCGAACGGAAAGGCCCUGCUUUUGUGGGGUGCUCGAGUGGCGAACGGGUGAGUAACACGUGAGUAACCUGCCCUUGACUUUGGGAUAACUUCAGGAAACUGGGGCUAAUACCGGAUAGGAGCUCCUGCUGCAUGGUGGGGGUUGGAAAGUUUCGGCGGUUGGGGAUGGACUCGCGGCUUAUCAGCUUGUUGGUGGGGUAGUGGCUUACCAAGGCUUUGACGGGUAGCCGGCCUGAGAGGGUGACCGGCCACAUUGGGACUGAGAUACGGCACAGACUCCUACGGGAGGCAGCAGUGGGGAACAUUGCACAAUGGGCGGAAGCCUGAUGCAGCAACGCCGCGUGCGGGAUGACGGCCUUCGGGUUGUAAACCGCUUUCGCCUGUGACGAAGCGUGAGUGACGGUAAUGGGUAAAGAAGCACCGGCUAACUACGUG